rnacentral:rRNA from 1 species
UACGAAGGGGGCGAGCGUUGUUCGGAAUUACUGGGCGUAAAGGGCGCGUAGGCGGCGACCCAAGUCAGAUGUGAAAGUCCUGGGCUUAACCUGGGGACUGCAUUUGAUACUGGGUUGCUUGAAUUCGGGAGAGGAUAGCGGAAUUCCCAGUGUAGAGGUGAAAUUCGUAGAUAUUGGGAAGAACACCGGUGGCGAAGGCGGCUAUCUGGACCGACAUUGACGCUGAGGCGCGAAAUCGUGGGGAGCAAACAGG